rnacentral:rRNA from 2 species
UGGAGUGUUUGGUACCUGGCUCAGGACGAACGCUGGCGGCGUGCCUAAUACAUGCAAGUCGAACGAACUCUGGUAUUGAUUGGUGCUUGCAUCAUGAUUUACAUUUGAGUGAGUGGCGAACUGGUGAGUAACACGUGGGAAACCUGCCCAGAAGCGGGGGAUAACACCUGGAAACAGAUGCUAAUACCGCAUAACAACUUGGACCGCAUGGUCCGAGUUUGAAAGAUGGCUUCGGCUAUCACUUUUGGAUGGUCCCGCGGCGUAUUAGCUAGAUGGUGGGGUAACGGCUCACCAUGGCAAUGAUACGUAGCCGACCUGAGAGGGUAAUCGGCCACAUUGGGACUGAGACACGGCCCAAACUCCUACGGGAGGCAGCAGUAGGGAAUCUUCCACAAUGGACGAAAGUCUGAUGGAGCAACGCCGCGUGAGUGAAGAAGGGUUUCGGCUCGUAAAACUCUGUUGUUAAAGAAGAACAUAUCUGAGAGUAACUGUUCAGGUAUUGACGGUAUUUAACCAGAAAGCCACGGCUAACUACGUGCCAGCAGCCGCGGUAAUACGUAGGUGGCAAGCGUUGUCCGGAUUUAUUGGGCGUAAAGCGAGCGCAGGCGGUUUUUUAAGUCUGAUGUGAAAGCCUUCGGCUCAACCGAAGAAGUGCAUCGGAAACUGGGAAACUUGAGUGCAGAAGAGGACAGUGGAACUCCAUGUGUAGCGGUGAAAUGCGUAGAUAUAUGGAAGAACACCAGUGGCGAAGGCGGCUGUCUGGUCUGUAACUGACGCUGAGGCUCGAAAGUAUGGGUAGCAAACAGGAUUAGAUACCCUGGUAGUCCAUACCGUAAACGAUGAAUGCUAAGUGUUGGAGGGUUUCCGCCCUUCAGUGCUGCAGCUAACGCAUUAAGCAUUCCGCCUGGGGAGUACGGCCGCAAGGCUGAAACUCAAAGGAAUUGACGGGGGCCCGCACAAGCGGUGGAGCAUGUGGUUUAAUUCGAAGCUACGCGAAGAACCUUACCAGGUCUUGACAUACUAUGCAAAUCUAAGAGAUUAGACGUUCCCUUCGGGGACAUGGAUACAGGUGGUGCAUGGUUGUCGUCAGCUCGUGUCGUGAGAUGUUGGGUUAAGUCCCGCAACGAGCGCAACCCUUAUUAUCAGUUGCCAGCAUUAAGUUGGGCACUCUGGUGAGACUGCCGGUGACAAACCGGAGGAAGGUGGGGAUGACGUCAAAUCAUCAUGCCCCUUAUGACCUGGGCUACACACGUGCUACAAUGGAUGGUACAACGAGUUGCGAACUCGCGAGAGUAAGCUAAUCUCUUAAAGCCAUUCUCAGUUCGGAUUGUAGGCUGCAACUCGCCUACAUGAAGUCGGAAUCGCUAGUAAUCGCGGAUCAGCAUGCCGCGGUGAAUACGUUCCCGGGCCUUGUACACACCGCCCGUCACACCAUGAGAGUUUGUAACACCCAAAGUCGGUGGGGUAACCUUUUAGGAACCAGCCGCCUAAG